rnacentral:rRNA from 1 species
GACGAACGCUGGCGGCGUGCCUAAUACAUGCAAGUUGAGCGCUGAAGGUUGGUACUUGUACCAACUGGAUGAGCAGCGAACGGGUGAGUAACGCGUGGGGAAUCUGCCUUUGAGCGGGGGACAACAUUUGGAAACGAAUGCCAAUACCGCAUAAAAACUUUAAACACAAGUUUUAAGUUUGAAAGAUGCAAUUGCAUCACUCAAAGAUGAUCCCGCGUUGUAUUAGCUAGUUGGUGAGGUAAAGGCUCACCAAGGCGAUGAUACAUAGCCGACCUGAGAGGGUGAUAGGCCACAGUGGGACUGAGACACGGCCCAAACUCCUACGGGAGGCAGCAGUAGGGAAUCUUCGGCAAUGGACGAAAGUCUGACCGAGCAACGCCGCGUGAGUGAAGAAGGUUGUCGGAUCGUAAAACUCGGUUGGUAGAGAAGAACGUUGGUGAGAGUGGAAAGCUCAUCAAGUGACGGUAACUACCCAGAAGGGGACGGCUAACUACGUG